UGCGGUGGUAUGGCAGUUGAUUGCUGGUAAGCAACGAACAAUGAAUCUGAUCCAGGUAUAUGUUCACACACCCAGCUAGUGCAUACAGUGUAUUAAAUCGGACAUAGAAAAACAGAUGGGUAAAUCUGUCUAAAUAAUCGCCUACCUAACUGACCGCAAAAAGGGGCCUGGUCCUUUACCUGCAUUUUGGUCCGGGGCUUAAGUGGUUAAGUAACCAGCAGGACUGAUGAACAGGAUAUCAUCAUCAGAAGUGUUGGCUCACUGUUAUCUACUUUUGCACAUUGGCAUUGAGGAAUCCACAGUGCUCCCUGCUUGUCCACGUGUCUCUACCUCAGCUCCCAUGCCAGACAUCUCUAGCCUCUCUGAUCCUCUGUUCACAUCCAUGCAGUUUUUGUGAGUAUCUCUAGAUCACCAUUGCAUUCACCCCUGAAGAGUUGGUAUACCCCAACAAAAUGUGUUGGGCUUACAUAGGUGCAUGAUGUCCAUACAGAUGAUUUUAUGUCUUUUAUACUGUUUUACUCCAAGAUUUUCCAAUACCAUCUAACCCCUUCAGUGGUUCAUGAUGUGCAAUAUGUAUAUGUGUUUUUUUAGCAUGCUCUGCGUUUAUGCGAUUUUGUUAAUGCAUUUUUCUGUCAUUCACCAUGCUGUACAUGAUCU